UUAAGCGACUAAGCGUACACGGUGGAUGCCCUGGCAGUCAGAGGCGAUGAAGGACGUGCUAAUCUGCGAAAAGCGUCGGUAAGGUGAUAUGAACCGUUAUAACCGGCGAUGUCCGAAUGGGGAAACCCAGUGCAAUUCGUUGCACUAUCGUUAACUGAAUACAUAGGUUAACGAGGCGAACCGGGGGAACUGAAACAUCUAAGUACCCCGAGGAAAAGAAAUCAACCGAGAUUCCCCCAGUAGCGGCGAGCGAACGGGGAGCAGCCCAGAGUCUGAAUCAGCUUGUGUGUUAGUGGAACGGUCUGGAAAGUCCGACGGUACAGGGUGAUAGUCCCGUACACCAAAAUGCACAGGCUGUGAACUCGAAGAGUAGGGCGGGACACGUGGUAUCCUGUCUGAAUAUGGGGGGACCAUCCUCCAAGGCUAAAUACUCCUGACUGACCGAUAGUGAACCAGUACCGUGAGGGAAAGGCGAAAAGAACCCCGGCGAGGGGAGUGAAAAAGAACCUGAAACCGUGUACGUACAAGCAGUGGGAGCACCUUCGGGUGUGACUGCGUACCUUUUGUAUAAUGGGUCAGCGACUUAUAUUCUGUAGCAAGGUUAACCGUAUAGGGGAGCCGCAGGGAAACCGAGUCUUAACUGGGCGUUAAGUUGCAGGGUAUAGACCCGAAACCCGGUGAUCUAGCCAUGGGCAGGUUGAAGGUUGGGUAACACUAACUGGAGGACCGAACCGACUAAUGUUGAAAAAUUAGCGGAUGACUUGUGGCUGGGGGUGAAAGGCCAAUCAAACCGGGAGAUAGCUGGUUCUCCCCGAAAGCUAUUUAGGUAGCGCCUCGUGAACUCAUCUUCGGGGGUAGAGCACUGUUUCGGCUAGGGGGUCAUCCCGACUUACCAACCCGAUGCAAACUACGAAUACCGAAGAAUGUUAUCACGGGAGACACACGGCGGGUGCUAACGUCCGUCGUGAAGAGGGAAACAACCCAGACCGCCAGCUAAGGUCCCAAAGUCAUGGUUAAGUGGGAAACGAUGUGGGAAGGCACAGACAGCCAGGAUGUUGGCUUAGAAGCAGCCAUCAUUUAAAGAAAGCGUAAUAGCUCACUGGUCGAGUCGGCCUGCGCGGAAGAUGUAACGGGGCUAAACCAUGCACCGAAGCUGCGGCAGCGACACUAUGUGUUGUUGGGUAGGGGAGCGUUCUGUAAGCCUGCGAAGGUGUGCUGUGAGGCAUGCUGGAGGUAUCAGAAGUGCGAAUGCUGACAUAAGUAACGAUAAAGCGGGUGAAAAGCCCGCUCGCCGGAAGACCAAGGGUUCCUGUCCAACGUUAAUCGGGGCAGGGUGAGUCGACCCCUAAGGCGAGGCCGAAAGGCGUAGUCGAUGGGAAACAGGUUAAUAUUCCUGUACUUGGUGUUACUGCGAAGGGGGGACGGAGAAGGCUAUGUUAGCCGGGCGACGGUUGUCCCGGUUUAAGCAUGUAGGCUGAUUAUCCAGGCAAAUCCGGAUAAUCAAGGCUGAGGUGUGAUGACGAGGCACUACGGUGCUGAAGUAACAAAUGCCCUGCUUCCAGGAAAAGCCUCUAAGCAUCAGGUAACAUCAAAUCGUACCCCAAACCGACACAGGUGGUCAGGUAGAGAAUACCAAGGCGCUUGAGAGAACUCGGGUGAAGGAACUAGGCAAAAUGGUGCCGUAACUUCGGGAGAAGGCACGCUGGUGUGUAGGUGAAGUCCCUGCGGAUGGAGCUGAGACCAGUCGAAGAUACCAGCUGGCUGCAACUGUUUAUUAAAAACACAGCACUGUGCAAACACGAAAGUGGACGUAUACGGUGUGACGCCUGCCCGGUGCCGGAAGGUUAAUUGAUGGGGUUAUCCGUAAGGAGAAGCUCUUGAUCGAAGCCCCGGUAAACGGCGGCCGUAACUAUAACGGUCCUAAGGUAGCGAAAUUCCUUGUCGGGUAAGUUCCGACCUGCACGAAUGGCGUAAUGAUGGCCAGGCUGUCUCCACCCGAGACUCAGUGAAAUUGAACUCGCUGUGAAGAUGCAGUGUACCCGCGGCAAGACGGAAAGACCCCGUGAACCUUUACUAUAGCUUGACACUGAACAUUGAGCCUUGAUGUGUAGGAUAGGUGGGAGGCUUUGAAGCGUGGACGCCAGUCUGCGUGGAGCCAACCUUGAAAUACCACCCUUUAAUGUUUGAUGUUCUAACGUUGGCCCCUGACCGGGGUUGCGGACAGUGUCUGGUGGGUAGUUUGACUGGGGCGGUCUCCUCCCAAAGCGUAACGGAGGAGCACGAAGGUUAGCUAAUCCUGGUCGGACAUCAGGAGGUUAGUGCAAUGGCAUAAGCUAGCUUGACUGCGAGCGUGACGGCGCGAGCAGGUGCGAAAGCAGGUCAUAGUGAUCCGGUGGUUCUGAAUGGAAGGGCCAUCGCUCAACGGAUAAAAGGUACUCCGGGGAUAACAGGCUGAUACCGCCCAAGAGUUCAUAUCGACGGCGGUGUUUGGCACCUCGAUGUCGGCUCAUCACAUCCUGGGGCUGAAGUAGGUCCCAAGGGUAUGGCUGUUCGCCAUUUAAAGUGGUACGCGAGCUGGGUUUAGAACGUCGUGAGACAGUUCGGUCCCUAUCUGCCGUGGGC
rnacentral:rRNA from 1 species